rnacentral:rRNA from 1 species
GUCCACGCCGUAAACGAUGGAUGCUAGCCGUUGGUAAGCAUGCUUAUCAGUGGCGCAGCUAACGCAUUAAGCAUCCCGCCUGGGGAGUACGGCCGCAAGGUUGAAACUCAAAGGAAUUGACGGGGGCCCGCACAAGCGGUGGAGCAUGUGGUUUAAUUCGACGCAACGCGCAGAACCUUACCAGGGUUUGACAUCCCGCGCUAAGCCCAGAGAUGGGUGGUCCCCGCAAGGUGCGCGGAGACAGGUGCUGCAUGGCUGUCGU